rnacentral:lncRNA from 1 species
GUCAUGUGACUGGUUGUCAGUCAUUUCCCCAGCAAUUCCAGCUGGCUUUUGUGAGGGGAAGUGUAAGCAACAUGGGGAGGGAGAAGCGCUGGGCCACCAUAUGUUUCAGUCACCUCCCCAUCCUGAGAGGCCUCUUUCUAAGCACCAAGACGAUAACACCCCAGCCAAGGACGAAAGCCUCAGCACAGCUCAUUGUUCACCUGCAGGAAGGUUGCCCACCCAACUCAAAGAAAACGGGUCUCACUUCUCUCGCCCAUAACUUCAUUGAGAAAUCUAGCCACAGCUCCACACAGGAACCACAAGGAUGCCAAGAACGGGAUGUGGCCAGCUUCUCUGUCACUCCAACGCUGGCCUUUCUGGCCAAGUCAGCCAUUUGGCACUCCUCCCCGGAUGUGUGUUGGGAUGCAUUAUGCUGUAUUUGGCCUGGACUAUGGCCUAUGCUCUGUCCUCCCUCUUUCUCUGUCUGCACUCUUUCUGAGAAGCCUAGAGGCUUCCUGGUUUGACUUGGUAUCCUCAACAUAGAACACUUCCCAGUCCAGCAGGGCGGAAGUUCAUGGGGAUCCGUUUCCUGUCUGUUUCUUCUCCACACCUGUUCCUGGAUGGUUGAGCAGGUGCCAUGAAGGUGGAGCUCUGGGCUUCCAUACCCACCCGGGACAGGGAAGCUUUCUCAGUCUCCGUGUCCCACUGGAUGGCUGUGUGGCUGCCCUCUGGCUUCUCCAAAAGGUGCUGGUGCAAUUCAUCUGCACUUCUCUCGUUCUUGAGGGCCAUCUGUCACUAUGCCCCUGGGGAAAGUGCCUUCAAGCACUGAAUCUUUUGGCUGCCAUGGAUGCCAGGGAGCAAGCCAAGGGGACUGGGUUUUGCUGGGGGCACAUGUUGUUGCAUCAGAGGUACCUGCUGGGUGUCGGGGUGGGGAAACCAUGCCUUGAGGUUGCUGACAUCUUUCUCUGCCCCAGUGAGGCCCUUCCGGCCCCUCUCCAUUGUAACCUCAUCCCUGCUUACCCAGUGGGAUACAAAAUCGGAUUCAAAGGGGAAUAGGGAAAGCCCAUCGGGCACCCUGAAGCUUCUCCGCUGUCAGGAACCAAAGCAGAAGAGCGCUGGAGGUGGUCCUGAGGACAAGAGUCUUAUGGAUUUGACCCCAGCUUUGUCGCACAUACUCCCAUUUUCCACGGCUCCCCAAGCAGCUGCUUUGCCACCCAGGUGGUGGGUGGGGACACCAUGUCUUGGGGUUGCUGAGGUCUUUCUGUGUCCAGUGAAGCCCUUCCUGCCCCUCUCCAUUGUAACCCCAUCCCUGCUUACCCGGUGGGAUCCAAAAUCGGAUCGGAAGAGGAGUGGGGAGAGCCCAUUUGGCACGCUGAAACUUCUCCUCUGCCAGGAGCCAAAGCAGAAGAUCGCUGAAGGCGGUCCUGACAACAAGAGUCUUAUGGAUUUGACCCCAGCUUUGUCACAUUGGGAUCCAAAAUUGGAUUUAAGGAGGAGUGGGGGAGCCCAUCUGCCACCCUGA